UCCCUGAUAGCUUAGUUGGUAAAGAAUCUGCCUGCAAGGCAGGAGACCCCGGUUUGAUUCCUGGGCUGGGAA
rnacentral:tRNA from 1 species